GUGCUUGCUUCAGCAGCACAUAUAUAAAAUUGGAACGAUACAGAGAAGAUUAGCAUGGCUCCUAUGCAAGGAUGACACGUGAAUUUGUGAAUCAUUCCAUAUUUUU